rnacentral:lncRNA from 1 species
AAGGCAGUUCAGAAGCUGGUGAAUGGGGAACCCGUCAGAAGUCAUUUUCCGUGCAAAUUGUCAAUGUUUCUGGAGGAGAUAGAGACACAUCUACCACUGGAGAAGUUGUUUCCUCAACAAGCCAUUAUUAGGAGAUGAUGAAGAAUAUGGAACUGGCUGGUGAGAAGCUGAGGAAGGAGCUGGAAGAGGAGUUGAAACUGGACCCUGAGCAACUUCGCAGCCACGCCUGGUACCACGGCUGUCUGCCACGGCAGGUAAUACCCCACGGAUACUGUGGCGGUGAGCGGGAGGAGAACUUAACAAUGCUUUCCUGGGACUGUCUCUUAACUCUUGGAAAGUGUAGAAAUCUGCCGGUAGUACCCUAAACUGUUCUGAAUGGCGAAGGUCUGCUUCUCCCGAUGUAUUCAUGAUUACUUGUGCCAUUUCUCUCCCAUCCAUCAACUAAGUCCUCUGUGUUGGUUCACAGCUGAAUGAAACAAUAACAUGCAGUAGAAAAUGUAGUUGAAUUCAGUAUUACUCGUAAUGCCUGUCCGGCUCAACGCAAAGCCCUUUACAAAGCUACCUUAAUCCUCAUUGCCUCUUUCGGAAGUUUGGACAAAGAGGAGGAGCUGUUUCAGCACAGAGAGCAGGCACAGUGGUGUGAAAUCAUAGAUGAAGAUGGUUCUGUGCCUCCAAAGUGUGCGGAAGCUGCAAAUUCCAUGUCCUCUCAAAGGGGGUGGGGUGGGGAGAUCAUAGAAUUGUAGAGUUAGAAGGGACCCAAACAGCCACCUAGUACAACGCCCUAUAAAAUCUCUUCCCACUGUGGAUUCCCUAUGGCAGAGGUUUUCAAUCUUUGGCAGCCUCUCUCUUUCAGACACCCUCCCUUGUGGAGGGUUCCUCCAGCCUCCUCUCCACUCUGCUUAGGAGUCCUCUGGGCAGCCACUGCUGCCGCCCCUGGUCUGUAAGCUGCCCCCCCCCACCAGAGGCACCAUCCGCCUGCAGAGCUUGUAGCCAAGUCUGCUGCAACAAACAGCUGUGCAAGCCUUUGGGAGGCAGAGAUAUGCAAGAGGGCAUCAGAGGAGGGAGGGAAAGAAAGAGGGACAGAGGCCAGUGUUGCCCACGGCACCCCUGACCAGCAUUCAAGGCACCUCAGGGUGCCACGGCAUGCUGGUUGAAAAUGACUGCCCUGUGGGCUUAUUGUGUUCAGUAGCUGCAAGGUUCUCUCCUUUAAUGGUUGUCCGGAAGGGAAGAGUUUUGAUGGGUGCAUAUUGUAUCUGGCCCAGAAGGGAGAUUGAUGUAGCUGUCAAAGGUAUGAGUGUCCUGUAGCAGAUUUGGUCUCCUGCCGAUG